CAGUCGCCGCGGUAAUACGUAGGGUGCGAGCGUUAAUCGGAAUUACUGGGCGUAAAGCGUGCGCAGGCGGUUGUGUAAGACAGGUGUGAAAUCCCCGGGCUUAACCUGGGAACUGCGCUUGUGACUGCACAGCUAGAGUAUGGCAGAGGGGGUGGAAUUCCACGUGUAGCAGUGAAAUGCGUAGAGAUGUGGAGGAACACCGAUGGCGAAGGCAGCCCCCUGGGCCAAUACUGACGCUCAUGCACGAAAGCGUGGGGAGCAAACAGGAUUAGAUACCCCCGUAGUCCCUGUCUCUUAUACA
rnacentral:rRNA from 1 species